GAGUUUGAUCUUGGCUCAGGAUGAACGCUGGCGGCGUGCCUAACACAUGCAAGUCGAACGAAGCGAUUCUGCGGAAGUUUUCGGAUGGAAGUAGAAUUGACUAAGUGGCGGACGGGUGAGUAACGCGUGGAUAACCUGCCUCAUACAGGGGGAUAACAGUUAGAAAUGACUGCUAAUACCGCAUAAGCGCACGAAGCUGCAUGGCUUUGUGUGAAAAACUCCGGUGGUAUGGGGAUGGGCCCGCGUCUGAUUAGGCAGGUUGGCGGGGUAACGGCCCACCAAACCGACGAUCAGUAGCCGGCCUGAGAGGGCGGACGG
rnacentral:rRNA from 1 species